GCGGCAACGCGUGUGCGGAAUGGAAAGUUUUGUGAACCUUAACACUUAGAGGAAGGAGAAGUCGUAACAAGGUUUCCGUAGGUGAACCUGCGGAAGGAUCA
rnacentral:rRNA from 1 species